ensembl:lncRNA
CUUGCUGGCUGUCCAGCCAGGUGCUCAGACACGAGGUGAUGUUUCUAUGACGCCGCUCUUUCAAUUGAGCCAACUCCAAGGCAAGGCCAAGUGCAACCCCACGCCGCCCUCUGUACCCAAAUCCUGCACCACCCCAUUACCUGCUGCAGCCCUCCCAGGGAUGAGCUGAAUCCAGGUGUCACCUGGAGCUACGGCACCAUACAGAUGACACCAGGCCUUCGAGCUCAUCAGGUGCAGCCACGAGUAGGUCCUGGAAGGAUGUGCGUGUGCCGGAGACACACCGGGGGAGGAAUGAAGCGGCGUUGCUAAAUAAAGCAGGCAGCCUCUGCCGGGUGAAGUCACACUGACACUUCCCCGCCGGCUGUCACUUGGUGUGACGGGCACAGUCACGGCAGCACAGGGCUUUGGCGCUCAGCCAUCGGGGCGGUGCCAACACUGAGGCUGGGAACACUGAGGGACACCGGUGGGGACAAGGCCAGGAGCAUCAGAGCAUCAGCAGGGGCUGAGGGACACCCAUGGGGACAAGGCUGGGGAUAUCAGCAAGCUUUGCCCAAGGAGGCUGUGGAUGCCCCAUCCCUGCAGGCAUUCAAGGCCAGGCUGGAUGUGGCUCUGGGCAGCCUGGUCUGCUGGUUGGCGACCCUACACAUAGCAGGGGGGUUGAAACCAGAUGGUCAUUGUGGUCCUUUUCAACCCAGGCCAUUCCAUGAUUCUAUGAUUGGGGUGGGGAAGCACGGGGGACCUUGGAGAGCUCGGCACUUUGGGCUUCGAGCUAUGCUGGGUCCCAUGGCCACAGCCAUCCCCUCCAUGGUGAUGGGUGCCCCACUGUGCCAUCCGUUGGUAAGCGAGGCAGAUGGGGAGGGUUGAGAUCAUCCAUCAGACAGCGCCCUGCAUGUAACACCUAAAUAUCUUGACGUCGGUGGCACUGGAUGGCAGAGAGCCCGUGCGAUGCACCUCCUGCUAUAGGUGCAGCUGUACAGGCGUGGGAACCACCGCAGCUGGGGGUGAGGGAGGCGCGGGGGGGGCCGCGGUGGCACCCGAGCUGUGACACAAAUACACAGGGACAGACACACGGAGCCGUGUAAACAGGCACAUGGGGAGACCAUGUGCCGCUUGGCUGUCGGUGCGCGCCCCGAGCAAAGGCACAUGGCAUCGGGACUGCACGCGGGAGACGUCCCAGAGGGGGUCUGGUCCAGAGUUCUCCUUUCCUGGAGAGCUCCAAGGGAGAGGUGGACAGCAGGAAGAGAGCAUCCGCAGAUGGGAGGGAUGGCUGUGGCCACGGUGACCCUGGCUGUGGGUUGGCGACCUGGCAAGGCCAACCGCAGGGAAGGGAGAGCAAAGGGUGCGCGAGACCAGAGACAUCCCGGUGCCUCCUGCAGCCUCUG